UACGAAGGGGGCUAGCGUUGUUCGGAUUUACUGGGCGUAAAGGGCGCGUAGGCGGGCGACUAAGUCAGGGGUGAAAUCCCAAGGCUCAACCUUGGAACUGCCUUUGAUACUGGUUGUCUUGAGUCCGGGAGAGGUGAGUGGAACUGCGAGUGUAGAGGUGAAAUUCGUAGAUAUUCGCAAGAACACCAGUGGCGAAGGCGGC
rnacentral:rRNA from 1 species